rnacentral:rRNA from 1 species
UGAGGAAUAUUGGUCAAUGGACGGAAGUCUGAACCAGCCAUGCCGCGUGAAGGAUGAAGGCGUUCUGCGUUGUAAACUUCUUUUAUCUGGGAAGAAACCCCUGAUUUUUAUCGGGGCCGACGGUACCAGAGGAAUAAGCACCGGCUAACUCCGUGCCAGCAGCCGCGGUAAUACGGAGGGUGCAAGCGUUAUCCGGAUUUACUGGGUUUAAAGGGUGUGUAGGCGGGUCUGUAAGUCAGUGGUGAAAUCUCCGGGCUCAACCCGGAAACUGCCAUUGAUACUAUAGGUCUUGAAUACUGUGGAGGUGGGCGGAAUGUGUCAUGUAGCGGUGAAAUGCAUAGAGAUGACACAGAACACCGAUUGCGAAGGCAGCCCACUACGCAGUGAUUGACGCUGAGGCACGAAAGCGUGGGGAUCAAACAGGAUUAGAUACCCCCGUAGUCC